rnacentral:rRNA from 1 species
GACGAACGCUGGCGGCGUGCUUAACACAUGCAAGUCGAACGGAAAGGCCCUGCUUUUGUGGGGUGCUCGAGUGGCGAACGGGUGAGUAACACGUGAGUAACCUGCCCUUGACUUUGGGAUAACUUCAGGAAACUGGUGCUAAUACCGGAUAGGAGCUCCUGCUGCAUGGUGGGGGUUGGAACGUUUCGGCGGUUGGGGAUGGACUCGCGGCUUAUCAGCUUGUUGGUUGGGUAGUGGCUUACCAAGGCUUUGACGGGUAGCCGGCAUGAGAGGGUGAACAGCCACAUUGGGACUGAGAUACGGCGCAGACUCCUACGGGAGGCAGCAGUGGGGAAUAUUGCACAAUGGGCGGAAGCCUGAUGCAGCAACGCCGCGUGCGGGAUGACGGCCUUCGGGUUGUAAACCGCUUUCGCCUGUGACGAAGCGUGAGUGACGGUAAUGGGUAAAGAAGCACCGGCUAACUACGUG